UCUUAAGAUGAAUGUAAGUCGCUCUGGAUAAGAGCGUCUGAUAAAUGACAAAAA
rfam:Salmo salar isolate Sally breed double haploid chromosome ssa14, whole genome shotgun sequence.